GACGAACGCUGGCGGCGUGCCUAACACAUGCAAGUCGAACGGAACUGUUUUGAAAGAUUUCUUCGGAAUGAAUUUGAUUUAGUUUAGUGGCGGACGGGUGAGUAACGCGUGAGUAACCUGCCUUCAAGAGGGGGAUAACAUUCUGAAAAGAAUGCUAAUACCGCAUGAUAUAUCGGAACCACAUGGUUUUGAUAUCAAAGAUUUUAUCGCUUGAAGAUGGACUCGCGUCCGAUUAGUUAGUUGGUGAGGUAACGGCUCACCAAGACCGCGAUCGGUAGCCGGACUGAGAGGUUGAACGGCCACAUUGGGACUGAGACACGGCCCAGACUCCUACGGGAGGCAGCAGUGGGGGAUAUUGCGCAAUGGGGGCAACCCUGACGCAGCAACGCCGCGUGAAGGAUGAAGGUUUUCGGAUUGUAAACUUCUUUUAUUAAGGACGAAACUUGACGGUACUUAAUGAAUAAGCUCCGGCUA
rnacentral:rRNA from 1 species